GCGACACUAGCUCAUCCGGAUAGAGCAGCUGCCUUCUAAGCAGCAGGUGGGCCGUUCGAGCCGGCCGUGUCGCA
rnacentral:tRNA from 1 species